rnacentral:rRNA from 1 species
CAGAUUUGGUUCUGGUUUCUAUUAUAAAGCUAUUGUUGAUGAUACAUGCAAAUCGUGUUGGCUAGUGAGGACACAAAUACAUAGAAAUUUAAAAUUUCUUGCGCUUGUAGUAUAGAACGAUUUUAUACUUAGUAAAACCACUCCAUAUAGGUAAAUAGCAGUACUUAAUUUUGGCCAGACGCGAGAGCGUGCGUCAGCUAGUAAUAUUACAGUGUGGCUAAUACUGUGCCAGCCGCCGCGGUUACACCUUAACAUUAAUUUAUAGUAUUCAGUAUUGCAAAUGACAAGUGUAUAAUAUGAGUCGGGGGAAAGCUGCGGUCGAAUGCGCUUAAUCUGAAGUCUCUUAUUGUUUAUUUGCACGGUUAAAGGGGAGAAACCAGGAUUAGAUACCCUGUUAUUCCUUUACAGUUAAUUUGUGGUGAGUACAGAUGUUGUCUAAAAACCAAAGAUUUUGGCAGUGGCUAAGGCCCGCUCAGAGGAAUUUGUUCCGUUUAUCGACACUCCGCGAGGAUCUUACUUCACUUUGUAUUCAGCUUAUAUACCGCCGUCGUCAGUUAAUACCUUUUAGGUUAAGAAAUUAACAAAAAGACGUAGUUCUUAACGUCAGGUCAGGGUGUAGCUAAUAGUGAAGGGUAGAAUGAAUUACAAUUAUCUUAAGUUAACGAAUAUCCCUUAGUACUGGUGAUUGAAGUUGGAUUUGGUAGUAAUGAGGCAAUAGUAUGGCCAAUUGAUUAAAGCUCUUAGUUAUGCACACACCGCCCGUCAUUUUCCUGAACCAAUAAAGGAAAGAAGUCGUAACAAGGUAGGGUAUCCGGAAGGAUCCCCUGGAUAAU